AUACGGAGGAUCCAAGCGUUAUCCGGAAUCAUUGGGUUUAAAGGGUCCGUAGGCGGGUUUGUAAGUCAGUGGUGAAAGUUUUCGGCUCAACCGGAAAAUUGCCAUUGAUACUGCAAGUCUUGAAUCAUUAUGAAGUGGUUAGAAUGUGUAGUGUAGCGGUGAAAUGCAUAGACAUUACACAGAAUACCGAUUGCGAAGGCAGAUCACUAAUAAUGUAUUGACGCUAAGGGACGAAAGCGUGGGUAGCGAACAGGAGUAGAAACCCCAGUAGUCC
rnacentral:rRNA from 1 species